CGGUAGAGAUACCUUAGUGCCUUCGGGAACGCUGAGACAGGUGCUGCAUGGCUGUCGUCAGCUCGUGUUGUGAAAUGUUGGGUUAAGUCCCGCAACGAGCGCAACCCUUAUCCUUUGUUGCCAGCGGUCCGGCCGGGAACUCAAAGGAGACUGCCAGUGAUAAACUGGAGGAAGGUGGGGAUGACGUCAAGUCAUCAUGGCCCUUACGAGUAGGGCUACACACGUGCUACAAUGGCGCAUACAAAGAGAAGCGACCUCGCGAGAGCAAGCGGACCUCAUAAAGUGCGUCGUAGUCCGGAUUGGAGUCUGCAACUCGACUCCAUGAAGUCGGAAUCGCUAGUAAUCGUAGAUCAGAAUGCUACGGUGAAUACGUUCCCGGGCCUUGUACACACCGCCCGUCACACCAUGGGAGUGGGUUGCAAAAGAAGUAGGUAGCUUAACCUUCGGGAGGGCGCUUACCACUUUGUGAUUCAUGACUGGGGUGAAGUCGUAACAAGGUAGGCGUAGCGAG
rnacentral:rRNA from 1 species